rnacentral:lncRNA from 1 species
UGUCUCACAGAUCCCAGACUGGUUUCUGGAGAAGCCAGAGACCCAGAAACACCAAGAGACACAGACAAAAAAAUGUCCAAGGAAAGCCUGCCUUCUCUAGCCAAAGGACUAAGAAAGAGGCAGCCUCACACUACAGAAAACUUUUCGACAAUAACAGCUCUACUCCAGCCAAACAUCGCAGAAAAAAGCCAUGCCCCCAAACCUCACCCCUAUCGGCCAAGUCAGGAAACUAGACUUCUGCUCUCACCCGGUUGUAAAGAGAUGUUCCAACCUUACCUUCAUCCAGGUGGUGUCACAGAAGGCUGAAUGGGAAGCCAGGACACUGGGAUGUCCACCCAACCUGGGAGAGAAAAAGGCCUCCUCCCCUCCUUGCUGGGGUGUCAAGAGGAGGCCUAGUGCCAAGCUGGAACUUUCACCAUCACCCAGCAAUAAUAAGUCAGAGCAUCAAUGGAAGCUACGGAGCAAUAGUAAUGAGGCACUCCUGCCGCAUCCCAGAGGGGUAUCAGCUGAGGCCGUAAAUAAUCUGGACUUCCACCCACCACGCAACAGUAACGAGGCAGCACUCUCCUUCCCCAACCAGCGCACUGGCAGAGGAGUCUUCCUAAAACAGAAAAUUUAAUUAAGAUCCAGUAUCUCAUAAUACCCAAAACUUCCAGGUUUCAAUCAAAACCCAUUCAUCAUUCCAGGAACCAGGAAAGUCUCCACAUGAAUGAGAAAAGACAAUCAACCGAUGUCAACACCAAGAUGACAGAUAAAUGAGAAUCAUCCGACAAGGAUUUUAAAGCAGCCUUCACAAAAAUACUUCAACAAGCAAUUACAAAUAUGCUUGAAACAAAUGAAAAAGACACAAAGUCUCAGCAAAGAAAUAGAAGAUAUAAAAAUUGUAACAUGCAGGCUGCACCCCAUACUAACUGAAUUAAAAUCGCUGAGAGUACCCAGCCAUCGGUAAUUUUUUUUAACUCCCGAGUGAUUCCAAUGAGUAGCCAAGUUUGCCAGCCAGUGCUCCAACUCCAUUAUUCUUACCCGGAAAACACAGCAAAGACAGAGAUCCAGGCCCUAUGCGACUUCAACAAGCCUGGGUUUCUGUAUUUUUAUUAGUUUCCAGGUGAUUCUGAUAGAUGACAAAGUUUGAGAAGAGCUGCAUUAUCCAAUCAAAGGAAUUUGCCAGUGAUUUCCCUCACUUGAGGAUGCUGCAAAAUUCUUGACCUGAAGGAGGAAAGAGCUGCAUUUAAGUGACCUUGAAGCAACAGGUAAAGUUUCAAUAGUACUGAAAAAAAAAAAAGUUUCAAUCAUACUUUGGACAUGGGUGAGCAGGAUAUAAUGUGUUUAACUCAGGCUGCCAAAUCUAAGCAGAGAAAAUCCACACACAUUGAGGGCCAGUUUGAAAAUGUAGUUACAGUAAAGAUUAUGUGUGUUUACAGGAAAGAGCAUGGGAAUGAGAUAAUAUGUUACCUGUCACUUGGCCUAUGGGAGACAUUAAUCUUCCUCUUGGAAGAAAAAGAAAAUGCUUCGUGUGAGUGCCUCUUCCCAUCCAAAGAGACCAAAAAAAAAAGGGAAGAGUUUAUCCUCAAGAUAGAAAAAAAAGACACAACCAAGGGGCUUUUCCACUGUGCAGUGUGGGCUGAAGUUUCCAACCCAAAAGGCGACAUCUUCUGGGCUGGAAGUUUUUUAGCAUUUCUACUCUCCUGGAGGAACCCUGGGGGCUCUGAGCAGAGAGAACUGGUCCUCAGAAAUGGAGCUGGGAAAAGCAAGGAAGAGGUGUGGAAGUUGACAGGAAGAAGAGGUGCACUGAGGGGGAGUGGAAUGCCCCACCACCGUUAGACAGGAAGGGCAUAGGCGAGAGCCCAAAGAGAACCUUCUCCAGGAAGGAAGGGCCUCCCCAAGCUCCUCUCCUGCCAGGCCUCCCGCUCUCCCACUUACUCACUAUCGCCUCAUCCCCCUAUCUAGAGAUCAUCAACACGCCCCACCAGAGGGGUCUUCUCAGGUGGCCUGUUGCCCAUUGGCCCACCACAGCAGACCAGGCUCUGGUCACAGGCAUAACCUUGACGGGAGGGGCUAAGACCACCCCCUUUAAUGGACCAUUUGCCCAUUCAAUCAAUCCAACCAAGGAAGAUGUGCCUCAAUUUCCUCAUCAGCAAAAUGGGAACAAAAACACCUACCCUCACAGGGCCACUGUGAAGAUUAAAUUAGUUAACAUGUAAAAUGCUGAACACCAUGCAUAGACCAUAAACUGCGGUGGGCACUUGAUAAACAUUAGCUCCUCGUGUUUUGAAAGACACACAGCACAGUGGUUAAGAGUAGAUGUCCCAAGCCAAAAUGCCUGGCUUUGACUCAGCGAAUCUGCUGCUUACUAAACGUGGACUGUAAGCAAGUUACUAUGCCUUGGUUUCCCCAUCU